GACGAACCACACAAACGUUAUUCGGAAUUACUGGGCUUAAAGGGUGCGUAGGCGGCCUGGCAAGUUGGGUGUGAAAUACCUCGGCUUAACCGAGGAAUGGCGCUCAAAACUGCCGGGCUUGAGGGAGAUAGAGGUGAGCGGAACUUAAGGUGGAGCGGUGAAAUGCGUUGAUAUCUUAAGGAACACCCGUGGCGAAAAGCGGCUCACUGGAUCUCUCGUCGC
rnacentral:rRNA from 1 species